rnacentral:rRNA from 1 species
UAAAGAGGUCGUCAGCAGCUUGUUUGGUCGAUUCAUUUGGGGCGUAAAGGGUGCGUAGGCGGCGCGGUAAGUCGGGUGUGAAAUCUCGGAGCUUAACUCCGAAACUGCAUUCGAUACUGCCGUGCUUGAGGACUGGAGAGGAGACUGGAAUUUACGGUGUAGCGGUGAAAUGCGUAGAUAUCGUAAGGAAGACCAGUGGCGAAGGCGGGUCUCUGGACAGUUCCUGACGCUGAGGCACGAAGGCCAGGGGAGCAAACGGG